UAUAUCUCAUUGAUUCUAGAGAGAAGAGAAAUAUUCAGGUCUAUUUGGUGUCUGAGCAGUUGUUGGGAAGAGCAGAAGAAAAGAAAAAGAUCUCAAUGUGUGCAAGAUAAGCUGCUUUUUUGCUUGGGUCAACUCCAAUGAUCAAGACCUCUAAGCUCUUUACUAAAGAAGCAAUUAACUUCAUCAAUAAAUAUUUAUUUGUGCUGUUGGCAGUUUGGCAGAGCUAAUUCACCCUUGGGAUAAUUCAGCAUCCAUGUUCCUGAUUCUUGCCAUUAUGUCCCUAAAUUGGCCAACUGCCAUCGCCACUGUUUCGAAAUUACUUAGAACGGGAACUUAAGGCAAUUGCCACACUGUCCUUUUAUUCUGUCGCACGAAAUAAUUUUCCAAAUUAAUCAUAUCGCUAAGUCUCUCUCCAGAGCUAAUGGUCUGAAAUCUGAAACCAGGGAACUGCUGGUGUGGUGAGAAAUAGUUUUCCUCACUUAAUUUGUCAGACUUCCAACUGCUCUUCUAUUCUCUAAGCAAAGUUGCAUCCAAAUGUCUGUUUCAGAAUACCAUUAUCAUUGAUUGAAGAUGUUGUUUCCCUGAGCCAGUCGACUAAGGAAGGCAUUCUAGAAGGCUCUGCCCUCUGUCUUAAUCCUUUUGGGCUUCUAAAACAAAACAAAGACUAGGCGGCUUACAAACAACAGAAAUUUAUUUCUCACAGGGUCUGGAGGCUGGGAAGUUCAAGAUGAAGGCACCAACUGAUCCAGUGCUCGGUUCAGAGCCUCUUGUUGUCUUCUCAUGGUGAGAGGGUCUCUUGACUCCCCCAUGAAGCCACAAAUUUCGUGCUUGGGGGCCCCACCCUUAGGACCUAGUACUUCCCCAAGCCCCACCUCUCAGGCCAUCACAGUGGGUAUUAGACUUCAGCAAGUGAGUGUUACAGGGACACAACAUGCAAUCCAUGGCACCCUCCUCGUUUUUAAAUACGCACUUUUUAAACGGGCAAAAAAGUUGGGUCUCGCCUCUAUAAUUUCAUCUGGACUAAAUGUUUACUUAAUGUUGUUAC
rnacentral:lncRNA from 1 species